UACGUAGGGCGCAAGCGUUAUCCGGAAUUAUUGGGCGUAAAGAGCUCGUAGGCGGUUUGUCGCGUCUGCCGUGAAAGUCCGGGGCUCAACUCCGGAUCUGCGGUGGGUACGGGCAGACUAGAGUGAUGUAGGGGAGACUGGAAUUCCUGGUGUAGCGGUGAAAUGCGCAGAUAUCAGGAGGAACACCGGUGGCGAAGGCGGUUCUCUGGGCAUUCCCUGACGCUGAGGAGCGAAAGUGUGGGGAGCGAACAGG
rnacentral:rRNA from 1 species